UAGGGAAUCUUCCGCAAUGGGCGAAAGCCUGACGGAGCAACGCCGCGUGAGUGAUGAAGGUCUUCGGAUCGUAAAACUCUGUUAUUAGGGAAGAACAAAUGUGUAAGUAACUAUGCACGUCUUGACGGUACCUAAUCAGAAAGCCACGGCUAACUACGUGCCAGCAGCCGCGGUAAUACGUAGGUGGCAAGCGUUAUCCGGAAUUAUUGGGCGUAAAGCGCGCGUAGGCGGUUUUUUAAGUCUGAUGUGAAAGCCCACGGCUCAACCGUGGAGGGUCAUUGGAAACUGGAAAACUUGAGUGCAGAAGAGGAAAGUGGAAUUCCAUGUGUAGCGGUGAAAUGCGCAGAGAUAUGGAGGAACACCAAUGGCGAAGGCGACUUUCUGGUCUGUAACUGACGCAGAUGUGCGAAAGCGUGGGGAUCAAACAGG
rnacentral:rRNA from 1 species